rnacentral:rRNA from 1 species
GGUGAAGUCGUAACAAGGUAACCGUAGGUGAACCUGCGGUUGGAUCACCUCCUUA